GACGGAGGGUGCUAGCGUUGUUCGGAUUUACUGGGCGUAAAGGGCGCGUAGGCGGCCUUCUCAGUCGGGUGUGAAAGCCCGGGGCUCAACCCCGGAACGGCACCCGAGACGGGAAGGCUGGAGACCGGGAGAGGAGGGUGGAAUAGCCAGUGUAGAGGUGAAAUUCGUAGAUAUUCGGAAGAACACCAGUGGCGAAGGCGGCUCACUGGCCCGGUACUGACGCUGAGGUGCGAAAGCGUGGGGAGCAAACAGG
rnacentral:rRNA from 1 species